rnacentral:rRNA from 1 species
GACGAACGCUGGCGGCGUGCUUAACACAUGCAAGUCGAACGGAAAGGCCCUGCUUGCAGGGUACUCGAGUGGCGAACGGGUGAGUAACACGUGGGUGAUCUGCCCUGCACUUCGGGAUAAGCCUGGGAAACUGGGUCUAAUACCGGAUAUGAGCCAUUUUGAUUGUGAUUGUUGGAAAGUUUUUUCGGUGUGGGAUGAGCUCGCGGGCUAUCAGCUUGUUGGUGGGGUAAUGGCCUACCAAGGCGGCGACGGGUAGGCGGCCUGAGAGGGUGGACGGCCACAUUGGGACUGAGAUACGGCCCAGACUCCUACGGGAGGCAGCAGUGGGGAAUAUUGCACAAUGGGCGCGAGGCUGAUGCAGCGACGCCGCGGGGGGGAUGACGGCCUUCGGGUUGUAAACUCCUUUCGCUAGGGACGAAGCUUUUUGUGACGGUACCUAGAUAAGAAGCACCGGCUAACUACGUG